rnacentral:rRNA from 1 species
GACGGAGGAUGCAAGCGUUAUCCGGAAUGAUUGGGCGUAAAGCGUCCGCAGGUGGCAGUUCAAGUCUGCUGUCAAAGACCGGGGCUUAACUUCGGAAAGGCAGUGGAAACUGAACAGCUAGAGUAUGGUAGGGGCAGAGGGAAUUCCUGGUGUAGCGGUGAAAUGCGCAGAUAUCAGGAGGAACACCAAUUGCGAAGGCAGCUCGCUGGGACGUACUGACGCUGAGACGCGGAAGCGUGGGGAGCAAACAGG